UUGGGUUUUAGGGUUGAGCCGCCUUGAUUCCGCGUAUGCUACCCUCUUAAUUCUACAUUGAUGAUAUGACACGAAAGAAUCUUUGUUAUGGCUGUCAAUCAGAUAAAAAAAAGGUAAUGAUGUUUGGCAAAUGGCAUUGCAGAAAUAGAUACAUAAAGUCCUAAGGAUCUGAAAGAUGUUUUAUUGCUUUAAUGAUUUUAUGAACGUCGGAAUAACAAGAAUUGCUCCAUUAUGGAAUGCUUGGUGUUUGUGGGCUGUGUUAAAAGUGCUGAGUUUCAGCGAAUGGCAGGGCAGAAAUAGGUACUAAAGUGCCCAUGGAUCAAGAGGGACCUCAAAGUUGAAAGGCGUAGCCAGGCUCUGGUAACUUCUUUCCAAAAUUCAGGACCACAACUUCAAUGUUCUUGCUGAGAUAGAAUCUACAAUGCUACAUUUUCUUUUAAACCAUAACUUUAGAAUAUUGGUUAGGAUUAUCCUCCGAAACAAUGAUACAAUCUUAAUGAGGCAUAAUACGUAAAACAAGUAAAAUUAUCAUUAGUUAAUAUGGAUAUGACACAAAUUCUUCUCAUUUGCCUAAAUGUUGGUGGGCAGAAUAAUUUGACACCUGUGCUUUUGAGAGGUAGUUGAGGGAGUCGAGCAUUUUGGACAACACCUUGUGUGUGUAUACGAUAUAAUCUCGAGCAGCAAACUAGUACAAAGUUAGUUGUUCAUAUACAAGAAAUAAGAUUACUAUAUCUGGAUUUUGUUGUCGAAUGAACCAGCAAUGUAGUUUGUGUUUUCACAUUGAAUUAGGAAAUCACUAAAGGUUGUUUUAUCGCUUUAAUAAUUUUAUUGAGUUGGAAUCACUAAAAUUGCUCCACGGUUGAUUGCUUGGCUUUUAUGAGUUGCAGAAAAAGUGCUGACGUUCAGACAAAUGGUAGACCAGAAAUAGAUUGCUAAAAUUCCCUUGGAAUCUGAGGGACCUCAAACUUGAAAGCUUAGCUGUGCUCAGUGAGUUGUGUGGUGGAUAAAGGUUCUUUGUUCAACUAAUAGCAGUGCAGAAUUGGAUACUAAAAGUACCCAAUGAUCAAAAAGGACCUAAAAGUGAAUGUCCAAGCCAUUCUUGGAUGAAAUUUCUUAGCCACAAAGUUCUUACCUCCUUACAUUUUCAUCGUAUUCUUCGAUAAGCUGGAACUUGCCGUGUUACUUUAUCAAUGACUACUUCACAUCAAAAAAAGGCAAAAAUAUUGCAUCCGUGCUUUCCUAUCCUUGGAGAAGUGGUCCUUUUAUUCUUUAUCUGUGAUGGGACAUUCAUUGUACUGAAGGAGAAUCUGGGGAA